UACGGAGGAUGCGAGCGUUAUCCGGAUUUAUUGGGUUUAAAGGGUGCGUAGGCGGGCUUUUAAGUCAGCGGUAAAAAUUCGGGGCUCAACCCCGUCCGGCCGUUGAAACUGGGGGCCUUGAGUAGGCGAGAAGAAGGCGGAAUGCGUGGUGUAGCGGUGAAAUGCAUAGAUAUCACGCAGAACCCCGAUUGCGAAGGCAGCCUUCCGGCGCCCUACUGACGCUGAGGCACGAAAGUGCGGGGAUCGAACAGG
rnacentral:rRNA from 1 species